rnacentral:lncRNA from 1 species
UUCACCCUAGAGGAGUGGACUUUACUGGACACAACUCAGAGAAACCUAUACAAAGAUGUGAUGCUGGAGAACUUUGAGAACCUGACCUCAGUAGCUUCAGAAUUGGAACUCCAACCUAGCACCAAAGGGUCAGAGCUUCAGAAUGACUGUAUGACACAAACUUCCAUUGGGAUACAAACGGCAAGCCUCAGUGAUGGAGGGACACUGUGUGACUAUAAGCCAUGUGGAGAAGUACCCAUUGAACAGUCAUGCCUUAUGACAGAUGUGAGAAUG